GACGAACGCUGGCGGCGUGCUUAACACAUGCAAGUCGAGCGGUAAGGCCCUUUCGGGGGGUACACGAGCGGCGAACGGGUGAGUAACACGUGGGUGACCUGCCCUUAGCUCUGGGAUAAGCCUGGGGAAACUGGGGUCUAAUACCGGAUAUGACUCCAUAACGCAUGUUGUGGGGUGGAAAGCCUUGUGCGGCUAGGGAUGGGCCCGCGGCCUAUCAGCUUGUUGGUGGGGUGAUGGCCUACCAAGGCGACGACGGGUAGCCGGCCUGA
rnacentral:rRNA from 1 species